GUACCGGCAGCGAGGGUGGGCUCCCAGCAGCGCCAGUAACACAGCUGUCUAUUGCAGGAGAAGGAGGAGGAGGCGCGUCUGGCCAGCAUGCCAGCCUGGAGGAGGGACAUCCUGCGUAAGAAGUUGGAGGAAGAGAGGGAGCAGAAACGGAAAGAGCAGG